ACGAACGCUGGCGGCGUGCUUAACACAUGCAAGUCGAACGGAAAGGCCCUGCUUGCAGGGUACUCGAGUGGCGAACGGGUGAGUAACACGUGGGUGAUCUGCCCUGCACUUCGGGAUAAGCCUGGGAAACUGGGUCUAAUACCGGAUAGGAGCCAUUUUUAGUGUGAUGGUUGGAAAGUUUUUUCGGUGUAGGAUGAGCUCGCGGCCUAUCAGCUUGUUGGUGGGGUAAUGGCCUACCAAGGCGGCGACGGGUAGCCGGCCUGAGAGGGUGGACGGCCACAUUGGGACUGAGGUACGGCCCAGAACCCCACGGGAGGCAGCAGUGGGGAAUAUUGGACAAUGGGGGGAAGGCUGAUGCAGCGAAGGCGGGUGGGGGAUGACGGCCUUCGGGUUGUAAACUCCUUUCGCUAGGGACGAAGCUUUUUGUGACGGUACCUAGAUAAGAAGCACCGGCUAACUACGUG
rnacentral:rRNA from 1 species